rfam:Rhizobium sp. Root483D2 contig_17, whole genome shotgun sequence.
AGUCAAGUGUUUUGGCGCCGUUUUGGCGAGCGAAUUUCUUUUGCCUUCUGAAAGGUGAGAGAGAAUG